rnacentral:misc_RNA from 1 species
AAAAAGUUUGGUCUCAACAAACCGACACCUCUUGUGCACCUUCAUCUGUCUUUGGCAAUUCGAGCGUUCCGGACAGCGGGCAACCGCAGUCUGGUUCCUACCUGGAUUGAUUCCAGGUUGGGUUGCCAAAUGUGUUUACAAACUUAUUUCCUAUUUUGUUUCGUAUGUGUUAAUCACUUUGAUUAAUAAAACUUAA